rnacentral:tRNA from 1 species
AUCUCUUUAGUAUAAUGUAUACCUGACUUCCAAUCAGGAGGACCACUAAGAUGGAAGAGAUA